CACGUAGGUGGUAAUGUAAGUCAGAUGUGAAAUCCCUGGGCUUAACCUAGGAACUGCAUUUGAAACUGUGUUACUAGAGUACUGUAGAGGGAGGUAGAAUUCCAGGUGUAGCGGUGAAAUGCGUAGAUAUCUGGAGGAAUACCGGUGGCGAAGGCGGCCUCCUGGACAGAGACUGACGUUGAGGUGCGAAAGCGUGGGGAGCAAACA
rnacentral:rRNA from 1 species